UGGUUCUGGCAUNGAUGAAGAACGCAGCGAAAUGCGAUAAGUAAUGCGAAUUGCAGAAUCCGUGAGUCAUCGAAUCUUUGAACGCAUAUUGCGCCCCUUGGUAUUCCGAGGGGCAUGCCUGUUCGAGCGUCAUUAUCACCCCUCAAGCCUAGGCUUGGUGUUGGGUUUUGGUACCCUCAACCGGUACCUGGCCCCAAAGAUAGUGAUGGCGCCCCAGAGGGAUCCAGUACGAGGAGCUUUUUACAAGGCAUGUACUCGGGAACGACUCUGUGGGUGAUGGUCUUAACUACAUUUUUUUCAAGUGUUGACCUCGGAUCAGGUAGGAAUACCCGCUGA
rnacentral:misc_RNA from 1 species